rnacentral:rRNA from 1 species
ACUCCUUUUAUAUAGGAAGAUAAUGACGGUACUAUAUGAAUAAGCACCGGCUAACUCCGUGCCAGCAGCCGCGGUAAUACGGAGGGUGCAAGCGUUACUCGGAAUCACUGGGCGUAAAGCGCGCGCAGGCGGUCUGAUAAGUUGGAAGUGAAAUCCUAUGGCUCAACCAUAGAACUGCUUCCAAAACUGUCAGACUAGAGUGUGGGAGGGGAAGAUGGAAUUAGUUGUGUAGGGGUAAAAUCCGUAGAGAUAACUAGGAAUACCAAAAGCGAAGGCGAUCUUCUGGAACACUACUGACGCUGAGGCGCGAAAGCGUGGGGAGCAAACAGGAUUAGAUACCCUGGUAGUCCACGCAGUAAACGAUGAAUGUUAGUCGUUGGAUAGCAAGUCUAUUCAGUGAUGCAGUUAACACAUUAAACAUUCCGCCUGGGGAGUACGGUCGCAAGAUUAAAACUCAAAGGAAUAGACGGGGACCCGCACAAGUGGUGGAGCAUGUGGUUUAAUUCGAAGAUACGCGAAGAACCUUACCUAGCCUUGACAUUGAUAGAAUCUUCCAGAGAUGGAGGAGUGCCUUUCGGGGAACUUGAAAACAGGUGCUGCACGGCUGUCGUCAGCUCGUGUCGUGAGAUGUUGGGUUAAGUCCCGCAACGAGCGCAACCCUCGUCACUAGUUACUAACAGUUAGGCUGAGGACUCUAGUGAGACUGCCUUCGUAAGGAGGAGGAAGGUGAGGACGACGUCAAGUCAUCAUGGCCCUUACGGCUAGGGCAACACACGUGCUACAAUGGUUAGGACAGUGAGAAGCAAUACCGCGAGGUGGAGCUAAUCUAUAAACCUAAUCUCAGUUCGGAUUGUAGUCUGCAACUCGACUACAUGAAGCUGGAAUCACUAGUAAUCGUAGAUCAGCUAUGCUACGGUGAAUACGUUCCCGGGUCUUGUACUCACCGCCCGUCACACCAUGGGAGUUGAUUUCACCCGAAGCGGGGAAGCUAAACUGGCUACCCUCCACGGUGGAAUUAGCGACUGGGGUGAAGUCGUAACAAGGUAACCGUAGGAGAACCUGCGGUUG